AUUCUGAUGUUGAUUCUGCUCCCUCAAGAGGGUCUGCCCCUAAGAGGAGUGGAUCUCAUACUCAGGUGAUUUCAUGGGAACCUUCUCCCCAUUCUAACUGGUCAAAUAAUGACUGGAGCCGGUGAUAGAGCAAUGAAAGGGAGAGGCGUGGCUGAAGGUUUUAGGGAGUGGAGGAAGGGUAAGGAAGAAGGAUGAAGGAAGAGGAGGUGGAAGGAAGAUGGAGCACAAGCACAUGGCCUGGAGAAGCUCAAUAAAACCCUAACUAAGACACCAUCCAUCCAUCCAUCAUCUGUCCAUCUGUCUAUUUAAUCCUGCAUCCUGUGGAAGUUUGUGAAGCUACCCUCUAGCGAGCCUCUGCAAAGACGGAAAUGAAUAGGCACAUUCUUCACCCAUUAGCAGCGCACAGCCUAAAAGAAGAUCAGUCCUAUUUGUGCAUCUCAUUCUUCGGACAGCAUCCCUAUGUGCCAGGUUAGGGCUGGUUCUGGGGAUGCAGAGAUGUAUCCCUCCCAAGGAGUUCACAGCCCAGUGAGGGGGACCCACGGGUACAAUCAUCAAACCAUCUGACUGAUGCUAAAAAGAGAAAUUGGUUGGCUGAUUAAUUGAUAUUCUGCUUUGUCCCAUAAGAGAUAGAAGAUUUAAAGAUUCUUAGAUUAAGAUUCUGAGAUGUGUAGCAAUGUGGAACUGCUUUGCAAUUGUAUUGUUGGGGGUCAUGGGGCCAGAGCACACCCUUAUGGAUGGGAGUGGGGUUUUCACAACAGGAAAUGAGAUGUCCAUUGUCAGCCUUCUAAGAAAGAUGUCAUCCCUGCGGCAGGAAAUGAGGAUCUGGGAAAGCAGGCCUCAGCAGAAGCUGGAGAAAAGCAUUCUGCUUGAGGUGCUGGGGCAGUCAGUUCUAGACUCCGUAGUGUGGAGGUUCCAUGAACAUUUCUUGAGGCAAUGGGGUGAGUUGAAAGGUGAAGGUCCCCAGAUAACACUGGGGCCAGCUAGGGAGAGGGACCCAGAGCUCAUCUGGAAAGGGGGGCUGAGGCAGAUCUGGACUGGGUCUAUCCUUUCCCCCAGGGUUUCUCCUCCUUCGCUAAAUGAAGGAGCAGACAAUUGGUAGUCACAUUGGUACACCAUAGAGGUAGAGGUAAGCCUCAACUACUGAAUAAAGGAGAACACAUAACCACCAGCCUAUCACCGACCCUUUUAGUACAGCAUCUUUAAAAGUUACAGACUGUUUGGGGGGGGGGGGCAACAGAAGAUACUGGGCCCAUGCUUGCAGCCCGUGAAAACAGUUGAAUUAUGGAAGAAACUAUUGACUGAAAAAGAGUGUGCUUGCUUUGUUUUUGAGAUAGGGUUUCAUGUAGCCCGGGCUGGCCUCCAUCUUGCUGUGCAACUAAGGAUAACCUUGAACUCCUGAUCCACCUGCCUUCGCCUCCCGAGUGCUAGAAUUAUAGGCAUGUACUGCUAUACCUAAUUUGUGUGCUUGCUGCGGAUCAGACCCGAGACUUGCUUCAUGCUAGGUGAACACUUUACCAACAGAGCCACAUGCCUAGCUCUGACUCCAAAGUGGAAACUCCAAGGGGAAGCUGCACGAAGAAAAAUAUCAGAUGUUUAAUGAGAAGUCUCUGCCGGCAUCAGGUUGGCUCCAUUAACGGCUAGAUGCGUAUACAUUGCUUGACAUCUGGAAUCAGUAUACAGACUUGAUUUUCUCUCCUGGAGAAUCCUGAAGAGUGCCCAGGGUGGUUGGAAAACAUCGGCAAACACCAGUAUCGGCUCCUCACAACUAAAGCAUCUCAAAAGCCAAAUUAUAUUAAAAAAAAUCUUCUCAAAA